rnacentral:rRNA from 1 species
UAUACAUGCAGUCGAGCGAACAGAUGAGAAGCUUGCUUCUCUGAUGUUAGCGGCGGACGGGUGAGUAACACGUGGGUAACCUACCUAUAAGACUGGGAUAACUCCGGGAAACCGGGGCUAAUACCGGAUAAUAUUUUGAACCGCAUGGUUCAAUAGUGAAAGACGGUUUCGGCUGUCACUUAUAGAUGGACCCGCGCCGUAUUAGCUAGUUGGUAAGGUAAUGGCUUACCAAGGCGACGAUACGUAGCCGACCUGAGAGGGUGAUCGGCCACACUGGAACUGAGACACGGUCCAGACUCCUACGGGAGGCAGCAGUAGGGAAUCUUCCGCAAUGGGCGAAAGCCUGACGGAGCAACGCCGCGUGAGUGAUGAAGGUCUUCGGAUCGUAAAACUCUGUUGUUAGGGAAGAACAAAUUUGUUAGUAACUGAACAAGUCUUGACGGUACCUAACCAGAAAGCCACGGCUAACUACGUGCCAGCAGCCGCGGUAAUACGUAGGUGGCAAGCGUUAUCCGGAAUUAUUGGGCGUAAAGCGCGCGUAGGCGGUUUCUUAAGUCUGAUGUGAAAGCCCACGGCUCAACCGUGGAGGGUCAUUGGAAACUGGGAAACUUGAGUGCAGAAGAGGAGAGUGGAAUUCCAUGUGUAGCGGUGAAAUGCGCAGAGAUAUGGAGGAACACCAGUGGCGAAGGCGGCUCUCUGGUCUGUAACUGACGCUGAUGUGCGAAAGCGUGGGGAUCAAACAGGAUUAGAUACCCUGGUAGUCCACGCCGUAAACGAUGAGUGCUAAGUGUUAGGGGGUUUCCGCCCCUUAGUGCUGCAGCUAACGCAUUAAGCACUCCGCCUGGGGAGUACGACCGCAAGGUUGAAACUCAAAGGAAUUGACGGGGACCCGCACAAGCGGUGGAGCAUGUGGUUUAAUUCGAAGCAACGCGAAGAACCUUACCAAAUCUUGACAUCCUUUGACCGCUCUAGAGAUAGAGUCUUCCCCUUCGGGGGACAAAGUGACAGGUGGUGCAUGGUUGUCGUCAGCUCGUGUCGUGAGAUGUUGGGUUAAGUCCCGCAACGAGCGCAACCCUUAAGCUUAGUUGCCAUCAUUAAGUUGGGCACUCUAGGUUGACUGCCGGUGACAAACCGGAGGAAGGUGGGGAUGACGUCAAAUCAUCAUGCCCCUUAUGAUUUGGGCUACACACGUGCUACAAUGGAUAAUACAAAGGGCAGCGAAUCCGCGAGGCCAAGCAAAUCCCAUAAAAUUAUUCUCAGUUCGGAUUGUAGUCUGCAACUCGACUACAUGAAGCUGGAAUCGCUAGUAAUCGUAGAUCAGCAUGCUACGGUGAAUACGUUCCCGGGUCUUGUACACACCGCCCGUCACACCACGAGAGUUUGUAACACCCGAAGCCGGUGGAGUAACCUUUUAGGAGCUAGCCGUCGAA